UCCCCACGUCUCGAUGGCGCCAAACCGCCGAUACUUGUCCGACCCUAUGCGCGCCAAAAUGGCACCCCAAAUCGCCGCUUGAUGAACAAAACCUAAAGCCCACUCACAUCAGACGGUCCAUGGAUUCUGAUCUCCGAUUCACUCAUUUCCCACGAUCACAUCGAUUUUCAAUUUCACCUGUUCGAUCGUUUUCAAAUCGUGCCGUCAUGGAAAGAGAGAGGGAGAUCGGUGGAGUUUGUUCAAUCCCCACUAAUCGCAGGACGGGAAGUUCAAUUUCAAAUGCACCGACAGUGAGCGCGUUGAAGAUGAAGCGCUUUUCGCAAUCUGCGUCGACUUCGCUUCGCCAUGUGAGUUCUUGAAUCCGGAGGUACGAGCUCUACUCUUACUUCCUCGAGUUUAUCUUGUCCGUACAGAUUGCCAUUGUUUUGGUACAACCAGCUCUCAGAGCGCUUUGGUCGUUUAUCUUCACCGAAAGUACUUGUUAGGUUACUAAAUCUUUGUUUCUCUUAGGGCUGCUGGAAUCUCUAUUGUUGUUUUGAACAUUAAUUCUUUGAUAUUUGGCUUUCUGGUAGUAAUUCGUCGGAUUAAUUAGUUUAGCAAACUGAGACGAAUUCCAAUUUUGCCUCAUACUUGGUGAACAAAUAGAUUGUAUAACGACGAAUUAGGGUAGUUUUAUUUCUAACAGAGCGGUCGGCAGUCACCAUCGCGUUCUUCUGCGCUCGAGGACGGAUUCUCAAACAAAAUAUCACAUCGAUAUCGCGGAAUCAAUUGCGAUCUCAUUUGCUGGCGCAAGAACGACAUUGACAUUUUUGGCCACACAACGAGUGAGGCCUUCAAUUGCUUUUAUUCGGUUGUCGGUUGUAGCGCAGUCGCAGGAGCAGUCAUAAAGUUGCUGCCCUUUCAUCAAUACCCCACCCUUAGCAUAAGGAUGCUGCCAGCCACUGCGUGGGGGAUGGUUUUUUCUUCUGCUGGUUCGGGUUUGUAUCUGUGGUAUAUAUUAUAUAUGGUCGAUGAGAUGCAGGCAAAUGGCGGACGCGGUAAAUUUUUCUUCUCUUUCCCAGUUACUAUAAUUUAACAAUAAAAAUUGAUGGGAAAAAAUAUAGGCAUACAUGGUCAAAAUAAUGGUAAAGUACGUUUUUGACAUUUUUCCUACGGUAAAUUGUGAUUACUAAUUUGUUUACUUUUAUAGCAUUGGGUUUUUUUUUUUUAAACAAGCAGGGGCCAGACAAAUGAUCAUAAAAUGUUGUGAAAAUUUAAAUUUUACCCAACUAGACAUUUUAAUGGAGAUUGUUAACUAUGGGGUUUUAGGGGGUUAAAAAUAAGGACUGAGGGUAAAAUUUGGAAGAAGAGGGUCUGUAUGGAUAACGAAAGGAAACAUAGAAAUUUUGAAUUCGCUCGUAAGCCUCACAUAACAUUAUCCAAUUCACUUUAACCCUUUUCCCCCAACAAAAACUAAAAAGAUAAAAGAAAGAAACGAAGAGAAUAUAGCUUUAAAGGCCCAUAGUUUUUGGACACGUCAUCUUCUAGAGAGUACCGUUGGUUUCUUACUGGUCCAAGGAAGGUUUGUCCUUUUUUUCUUAAAUAAUAAUAUUGUCCCUCAAAAGUUCAUGAUAUCAGAACUCAGAAGCUGUGCCCUUUGAGUAAAACUAUUGUACCGUAAAAUGUCUUCGAAGUGUAAUGCUUUUGAUGUGGCCAUGUGGGGCACAAGUAGCCUAGGACUCUCAGGAGGACUACCCCAUUUGUACCUUAUUUAGAACAGCGUUGAUUAUAGUCAUCAAAGACCCUAAUUCAAACUCCUAAAACCGACAUUUUUUAAAUUAAAAAAAAAGAAAAACCCUAGAACUGCAUAGGCUUGAACUGUGUCUAGAGAUGCUACUACAUCAUUUUCUUUACGUAGAGAAAAGAGAAUGACUUGAACAAGAUACCCCUUACCUCGACAGCCUCUAAGGAACCAAGUGAGUCUACCAAUACCUUGUGCUUUCUUCUUUGAUCAUAUUGUGAGGAUUCGUUUGGAAUAUGACUGAACGUCUCGCAUUGACACGAUAGGUGAAAGAUUAUAGUAUAUAACUGAGGUUAACUAUGUGUACUAGUAUUUAAUUUUUUUUUAUGAAUAUUCUACUAGAUGUGUGGAUGGUCCACCAUCUUCAACAAAGUUAUGAGUAUUAUAAUCGUACAGAACCUUUACCAUGGCUCGAUCCACAAAUAAAGAAGAGGGGAACCCUUAGAACCUGGCAAAGUCAUUAUCGAUGAUUCUUGAGCAAUUCCCAACCAACACAUGCGAUUCACUCCCGUAAAGAUUCUAACACACAAUAGACAUGACUCCUUACCUUAGGAGCAGGAUAAGUGAGACAGCCCCGACCAGUGCCGGUGAAGAACGCAAGCAAAGCAGGAGCUCGGGCAUUGUUAUAUUCCAUUAAGAGAAAGGAGGUAGACUAGUAAGAAGGCCGGGGGAGUGAACCGAAAAGCUCAGCUUUGUGGAACGGACCAAUCUUUCGUACCGCCCCUUACUCUCUCUCUAUAAAAAAAA